rnacentral:lncRNA from 1 species
UUUAGUCCGGGUUCCUUGCCCAUUCCUCCUACAGACAUCCUUCAUUGCAAAUCAGCUCAUUUCCAACCAGGUUCCUCUCUUCCCCUUUUGUUAAUGCUUCUUUCGCUAGUUUAUAGGAUUGAUAAUUUUCUGAUUUUUGAAUAAACUGGAAAAUAAUUUCUUGAAAUCGAGAACUAUGACUCUGAAUAUCUCUGAUAACCGCUCCAAUAAUCGACUUAUCCAUAUCUGUCGCUUGACAUUUUUUGAUGACUGUCUUCGAAUCUCCCAUGAUUGUAACUGAUCGGAGACCCAUAGCUAUGCCUAACUUGAUUGCCUGUAGGCAUGCUGAAGCUUCUGCAAGAAACAAAAAUGAUAUGUUGGAAUGAAGGGUUGUUUUUAAGGCUCUUAUCUCUCCCCUCCGGUCACGUACAAUAAUUCCUGACACCGAUCUGUACCUGUUUGCAUUAAAAGCUGCACCAAAAAGUAUUAUGUCCUGCGUUCUCUCCUUCAUUUGUCUCUGUAUUUUGGCAGUCUUCCAGGUAUGUUUUUCCUUUCCCACUUCUUUAAGUUCAACUAAAUAAGUCUGUAUUUUCUGUACUAGAUCCCUUCCUGAUACAAACUUUCUUUCAUGCACCAUUUGAUUUCGCGAGUUCCAUAUCACCCAUAAGGCACAGCAAAACACCUGACACUAUUCCUUGGUUCAUUUUUUGAAGACCCAAGUAAGUCAUGUCCUCGUAUUUUGAUCUUGAUAUGAUGUAACCCAAGACAUAUUAAUAUUUUGCCAAACUUCAUUACUUAUAGGGCAUUACUGGAAGACAUGGAGACUAUUCUCUUCCCCGGAGCCACAACCUGAGUUUAGCAAGACGAUCCACUACCAAGUUUUGAUUUCUUGGUAUAUGCUUAAUCCUCCACUCCCCUUCUGAAUGCAAGAUGCGAAGAGUUCUUCAGAGCACGGUGAUCCCUGAGUCUUCCAAAUUCAUAUCAGUCAAGAUCUGGGCAACUUCAAGAUUAUCAGUCAUAAUAAUAAUUCGUUAAUGGCCCUUAUUAAGUAAAAUAAGGAUCCCAUCUAGAAUGGCCUAAACUUCAGCUUCGAACAGAGAGCACACGCCUAGGAAUCGGUUAAAUCCCACUAUCUAAUUUCUAUCCCAGUCACGAGCCACGCCUCCUGUUGCAGCAUAACCAAAAUCUCUGGCCACAGCUCCAUCAGUGGAUAAAAACACCCAAGUAUCAUCUGAAUUGACCAUCAAAGAAGAACCCUGCUUGUUAUUAAUGUGAUCUCCAACCUGAGAGUUAUAAUGACGAC